GGGAAGGUAGCUUAGUGGUAGAGUGCUUGCCUUGCAUGCAGGAGGCCCUGGGUUCAAUUCCUCAGCACCA
rnacentral:tRNA from 1 species